rnacentral:rRNA from 1 species
GUGUUCGAGUUGUAAUUUGAAGAUGGUAACCUUGGGUUUGGCUCUUGUCUAUGUUCCUUGGAACAGGACGUCAUAGAGGGUGAGAAUCCCGUCUGAUGAGAUGCCCAUUCCUAUGUAAGGUGCUAUCGAAGAGUCGAGUUGUUUGGGAAUGCAGCUCUAAGUGGGUGGUAAAUUCCAUCUAAAGCUAAAUAUUGGCGAGAGACCGAUAGCGAACAAGUACAGUGAUGGAAAGAUGAAAAGAACUUUGAAAAGAGAGUGAAAAAGUACGUGAAAUUGUUGAAAGGGAAGGGCAUUAGAUCAGACUUGGUGUUUUACGAUUAUCUUCUCUUCUUGAGUUGUGCACUCGUAUUUCACUGGGCCAGCAUCGAUUCGGAUGGCAAGAUAAUGGCAGUUGAAUGUGGCUUCACUUCGGUGGAGUGUUAUAGCUUCUGCUGAUAUUGCCUGUCUGGAUCGAGGGCUGCGUCUUUUGACUAGGAUGCUGGCGUAAUGAUCUAAUG